rnacentral:rRNA from 1 species
GACGAACGCUGGCGGCGUGCCUAAUACAUGCAAGUAGAACGCACAGUUUAUACCGUAGCUUGCUACACCAUAGACUGUGAGUUGCGAACGGGUGAGUAACGCGUAGGUAACCUGCCUGGUAGCGGGGGAUAACUAUUGGAAACGAUAGCUAAUACCGCAUAAUAUUGAUUAUUGCAUGAUAAUUGAUUGAAAGCUGCUAUUGCAUCACUACCAGAUGGACCUGCGUUGUAUUAGCUAGUAGGUGAGGUAACGGCUCACCUAGGCGACGAUACAUAGCCGACCUGAGAGGGUGAUCGGCCACACUGGGACUGAGACACGGCCCAGACUCCUACGGGAGGCAGCAGUAGGGAAUCUUCGGCAAUGGACGAAAGUCUGACCGAGCAACGCCGCGUGAGUGAAGAAGGUUUUCGGAUCGUAAAGCUCUGUUGUAAGAGAAGAACGGGUGUGAGAGUGGAAAGUUCACACUGUGACGGUAUCUGACCAGAAAGGGACGGCUAACUACGUG